ensembl:lncRNA
AAAAAUGCGAAGACAUUUAUUGAGUCGUCUACAGCAGUUUGACGUCCUUAAAAUCCAGGACGAGGUUGUGCGCACAGCAUUGACGGCGGCAGCGGUAGCAGUGAGGCGUGUGGGGCUUGGCUUUAUUGUGGGAGAUGAGACCCAGGCGGGCCCGGCUCCCACCGUGAGCCUGGAGCCACGUCUGGGAUGCCAGCGGCGCCCCCACUCCAGUCCUCACAGGGGCUAAGCUACAGAAGACGGACAGAAGACCAGACACACGUGGCCAAGCACAGACACAUCCCGGGAUGCCGACUUCAGGGAAGGGAGAAAGACAGGCCCACAGCCCACUUGAAGGACGUCCCAGGUGCCCUGGAAACCCUGACAUCCCCCACGCGGAAGUCACCCCAUUCUAUCCCACAAGCAACCAGCUGAUGGGAAUAAGAGACCACGGAAUCCCACGUCCAUCAGAGACCAUGGGCCUCCCCCUCCCCCCCCCCAAGUGCUGGUGGUUUUACAAAUGGGGCAGAGGCUAACCCAGGAGGGCUCAAAGCACUUGACAAUCAGCAUAGGGUCCCCCUUUCGAGGGUCUUCAGCACAGUAGUAAAGCCCUUUCACCCACCAAGGCGUCCCACCUCAACCUCACCCCUGGCCUGUGACAGACUAUAAAUCAUGUCCUCCCAUUUCUCAGAUUGGGAUGUGGAGACCCAGAGAGGUUUGGUCUUAGGGCACAGAGCAGGUGGUGAAGCCGGGCUAGAACGCAGGUCUCCCUGUCCACACAGACCCCACUGCUCCUCCGACAGUCUGGAGUCCUGACAACUUCCAGAGCCAGAGCCCCUCCCCUGUGCAAGGCUGAAGGUUUCUGUUCAGAAGCUUUGCUGAGUGUCUCGUUCCAACUCACGUGCAGGCCUGGGCACACACCAGCAGGCAGGCCCAUUUCCUCGUUCCGGUCUGCAAAGCACACUGGAUGCCAACGUGGCGCAGGCCCAGUGCUAAGCCCACCUGUGUUUUCUCGUCAGCCCCUCGGUGAAGCUUAACCUGCAGAUCUCCAGGUUUCCUCCCAGCUCUGGGACUUGGUGGGUCUCCCCAGAGCUACAUGAGGAAGGAUCCAGGUCAAAUAGCAGAUCAGUGGCAAAGCUGGGAGAUACCCAGGCCCUCUAAGCCCUCCUCCCUCAACUUGACUCCUCACCCAUCCCGGUCCAAGCACACGCCACAGUCCCUGCCUGGGACCCACUCCCAGUGGACGGCUGGUGUUUAGGCAAGAAUUUCAGAGAUGCAGUGGGCGAUGCAAACUACCUAGUCGUAUUGCCCAUUUUACAGACUUGAAAACAAAGGGUCGGAGAGGGAAGGAUUUUACCCAGACUUCAUUCUGUCCCCCUGCUGCCUGUGACCCUGAAGGACAGCUGCCUAAUCUCCUGGAGCAGGCAAAAUACACCAGGUGCCUCUGCUCACAAGGCUGGUGGUAAUUCAUUCAGAAAGGAAAACCAACCAAUAGGAACCUGGAACCUCUAC